CAUACCUAACCAACUUGUGUUUUUGGAUGGCAUUUGCACAAAACCAUUACGUUAAAAAUGUUUAGGGCAGGAGGGAGUGGGGAGGAAGGGAUGAGAUGUAGUGAUCCUUUCUUGUGCUUACUUUUAGAAUUUGCAAGAUGUACAGGGCCAAAUUCUAUUCAUCUAUUAGGUGCCUCAGCUUGAUUUUAUUCUACCCUGAAUGAGUCCUGGUCAACAAUGAAUGCAAGAACUGAAAGGGUCUUUCUGCUUUCUGUCAAAGUCUUAAAGCUAAAGAUGAUGGCAUGGUAUAAAUGUAAUGAUGGUAUAAAUGUAAUGUAAUGAUUACACUCAGAUGCCUAAGGCCAUUACUUGCUGAAUACGUAGAAUAGGAUCUGGCCCUAUUUCAGGAAAUUCCAGAGUUCCUACAGUAUUGAUGUGUAUCAUAUAAAUGUCUAGGCAGGUAAGUAGAUUGGCUGGAAAUAUUUUGGACUGUGUUGAAAGGUCUCAAUGUGUUCUCUGAAUGGUGAAUUUCUUUAUCUUUGGAUGGCUUUUGUUUUCAUUACUGAGUGUCUUACCCUCCUGCCUUUUUUUAAAAGAAUCAUACUGAAACAUGCCUCUCAUUCCUACCGAAUCCCCUCAUAAAAAAAGCUGGGCAGGAUGGAUCUGCUUAUUUGUCUUUGUUUCCUUCCUACUUCUGGCAGAGAAAGUCCUCUGAUGUUGUCCUAGCUGUUGUAUUCCAGUAGAAUAAUGUGCAGCUAAGAAAAGUAGGCUAGGAUGUCUGCCUCAUUUUGAAUAAGGAUUUCUGACUUUUCAGAUGCAUGACAAUAAUAUCCCUCCCCGUUACGUGGCCCCUUUCUUGUUUAUUUAAAAUAACCAGCUGAAAUCUUGCCUCCUUUCAAAGAUUUCUGUAACACCCUUGGGUCUGAAGGAUCCUUUUAGGUCCUCUGAACAUUUUGUAACAGAGCUGCUGCUGAAUCCAUUUCCUUACUGUCAUUAAUGCUGACUCAAGGCAUAUUUAGGUUGCAUGUGUGGUAGAACUCACAAUCGAGUGUUACAUUUUAUAAGGAUGAAGGGAAGAAAAAUGUAGUGAUCGCCAGAUGUUCUGCACAAGGAGCUUCUUCUCCAGCAGCUGCCAGAGUUCUCUUCCUGCCAAUCCCAGCCCUGGGGCUUAGAUGCACCCAGGGCCCUGCGUCCUUCCAAUCAGGUGCUAAGGGUGUUGGUCUAAGGAUAUGGCACUCGCGGACAAGGUCCUUUCCUUUGGGACAAUCUAAUCUGCUGGGGUCUUACAGUGGGAAGGAGUGGGACGGAGCUUGGGCUCCCCCCUUGCUCAAGAAGCCAAACCUGAUCUGACUUCAAGGGGCACUGUAAGGGAGUAAACAAGGCUGAAGCAUCCCAAGCAAGCACCUUCUGGAUUACACCCAGGUAGAGUGCUGAGAAUUGGGACUCAAGUAACCACAUUCAAAAGAACUGAAAUGGAGUUGAAUUCGUGACUUAAAUAUUUCAGUGCAAGGAGUGAAGAAAGAAGGAGAAAUCCUUCUGUGGGUAGUCCUUCUGCUGGAAAAGAACCAAAAGUGAGGCAUAAGAAAGAGCGUUUUAUUCCUGGAUCCAAGUCAGCCUGCUCACGCAGUGCUGACCAGAAGACCUGACAGAGAUGGAGAAGGAAGCUCCUCCCAAACAAGAGCUAAGGAGAAUCGCAUCUCACCUCCUGAUCUAGUCUGCUAGCUUUCUUAAAGUUACUUAAAAGAUAUUGUUAAAGUUUAAAAAUCUGAAUUGACUUAAUCACUAUCAACCUGCAAUAUGAACUUGAGUGAGCUCUGAGGCUGGUCUAAAUUAUAUUGUUUCUGUGCCUAGUGUUUCUUUGUAGGAAUGAAGCAAUGUUAUGAUAGCGUAAAGCCUUCUUCUGUGCUGAGGACAACUUGACCAGACCUAAAGAUGAGGGUCCAUGUGCUCAACUACUGCUGUUUGGAGACAAUGAUUAAGAGCCUCAGUUAUUUCAAUUCUAACAUCAAAGCACACUAAAGAGCCUCUGAUUUAUCUUUAAAUUUGGGACAUACUAUUUUCUUUCUUUUCCUAAACAUUGGGCGCAUCUACAUAAGACACUUUGAGAUUAGAGGAAAUUACUGCAUACUGCCUUGCUUACUGCAAGAUGCUUACUGCACAGUAAUUUCCUCUAAUCAUGAGUAAAUUUGCUACCUCUAAAUUCAAGUAACAAAUUUAUUCAUGAAUACUUACUGCACAGCAUGGCAUGUGUAGAUAGCCAACCAGAGGCAAAUUUGCUCCUAGACAGCAGGGCAGCAGGGAUCAGGAGACUGCUCCUGAGAGAGGCCUUCUGCCUGAGUGGGCUCUGCCACCAGAGCCUGGACAGGGACAAUGUCCUCUGCCCCAGCAGCAAGGAGCUUGCUCCCAGGCCCCACUCCACAAUCUUGGGGAAUCCCUGUCCAGGCCGGGGCUUGCUGCUAGCUGCCCCACUAACAGAUUGGGGCAGGGGGCUGGGACCUACCCCUCCCCUGCAGCUUUUUCCAAGCCCCUGCCCAAGCCUCAAAUGGGGAGGUGGGGCUGGGAGCUCCCUGCUUCUGGGGCAGUGAGACAUUGUCCCCAACUAGGCUUUGGUGGCAGGGGCCACACCAGCAGCAGGCAGCUCCAAGGGGCAGGGAGCAAUCUACCAGCCCCUGCCAAAAGACUGCUGUCUCCUGGCCCUAUGCUCCCUACUAGCCCUUUGGCUAGCACUUGGGGGAAGCCUAGAGAUCCCCCUGGCUGCUGCAGAGCUAGAGGGGCCAGGAGCAGAUUGCUGCCAUGAGCAGCAAAUCUACUUCUGCUUCUCUGCAUGUGUAGACACCUACCUGGAGUUUUACUCUACAGUAAAUUACUCUAUAAUAAACCCAGCCCAGAGCAUCUGCACGUGUAUAUGCCCCUACUGUGCAAUAUAAUUCUAUUCUUUACUUCACUGAAUUUACUUUUGUUUGUGUCAGUUAUUUAUAAAGUUAUUUUUUCCAUGGGGUUCAUCAUCAUCCUGGUUUUUAUCUUAAACAUUUUCCACAUGCAGGAAAAAACUAAACGUUUUGCAUGUUUCACCCAUCCACCUUAAAUUUCUUGUUAACAACAUGUAUUCACUAAUUUAGUCUCCAACAUUUGAAAAAGUAGAAAGGUUGGUUAAAAGCUGGUUUGUCAUGGUUUUGUGUGUGAUCUUAUCAGACUGGCCUUUCCUUUCCAGAUGUCAUAGUUUUAUGUGGUAUAAAUGAUACUCCCAUUACCAGAUGGUAUGAGAAAGAAACAGCUUCAGGGAGGUAUAUGGUGUUUAAUUCUGCACAUCCAGUGUCUAUAAGAAAAAAAAAAAAAGAAAGAAAAGAAUGUUUCUUUAUUUUAUUUUAAAUCUGGUCAGUAUAGUGUCUGAAUUUUGUAAUACACAUUUGGGAAUAGAAGCCCUUAACUGACUGAAUGCACACUUGACCAGAUGUGGCCCCUUCUUAAUAGUCAACAAACCAGACCACCAAUAAAAUAAUUCAAAAUAGUGGCAAUCACACUACUGCUAUUCUCAUCAUAACAAGGGCAACUGUGCAUAAACACUAUAAGGGUCAAAUUCAGUUCUCAUGUAUACUGGAAACAUUGUCAGAGCAACUCUGUUGAAGGAAGGGGAUUUGUUCUGGAUUUUCACAAAUUAGCUGACAGCUAAAUUUGGUUUUAAAUUUAUCUGUGCAGAAAAGCACUUACUGGGGGAACAUAGGUAAUUCAGCAAAUGUUAAAAGACUCUUUAAUUGUACCCUAAUGCCAUAAUGACUUCAGCUCUUAGAUAAUGGUGUACUUUGCAAUUGUCAUUGAAUUCAAAAGAAGCUCAGCGUAGAUAUCUGGGAGAAUCCAGAUGAGCAUGGGCGUGUGGUGUGUGGUGCACAGACUUGUCUGCAGUGCCACACACCACACAUGCAGGCACUCCUCAUGCUGCCUCUUUGCAGUACAGGGUUUUUUUGUGUUUUUUUGACCAUUGCCAAAAAAAAAGCAGGGCAGUGCAUGUAGCAGCAGUGUACACCACUCAAAACUGGAGCCUGGCUGGCUGGAGUCACACUCCAGCUGCUGGCCAGGCUUCCUGCCAUGACUACAGCUCCCAGAGGCCCCCAGGACACCAGGUAAGUCUGUUGGGGUAAUUUGCCACACAGCAGAGUGCGUAUGGUAUAGGGGUUCUCCAGGGACAAGUAGCAGAGGCAUAAGGAGUGCUGCUGCUACUUGUCUCCAGGGAUACAAAAGUUCCUGCUCAUCUGGACGUGCCCUUGGAAGGCAGAUUGGCUCCAUGAAGGGAUAAACUACCCUAAAGGGUAAGAGUUCUUAUACUUUUUUAAUCAGAGUUCCCUUGGAAAUGGUUGCUGAGUCAAUUAAUAAUUAAGCAGAACAUUAUCUUAAUUGCAAAUCCUAUGUUAUUUUUCAUUGAAAUAGUGAUAGAAACAAUGGGGUGCAAUAUUUAAGUGAAUUAGUGUGGAAACUAACUAAAAUAUGGGCCAAUGGGCCAAAUUCAGAUCAGAAUAGGGGACUGACCAUCAGGCUUAGGGCAAGCAGAGCAGUCUCCUAUUCUUUUCCCAUUGCUGUCAAAAUAAUGAGUAGGUGAAUCUGUGAUAAAGAAGGCUGGUGGGACCUGGUCUCAUUUCAUUUCUUGAGAACCUGAUGUAAAGUAAAGCAGUUUCCAGGAUCUUCUCAGUUGUGUUUCGAACAUGAACAAACGAUGGAGAGCAGGUUCCUUGAAAGCCCUCUUUCUGCCCUUCCCUGAUUCUACCCUAUCCAUUAGAAACAGUUACCUCUAGUUCCAAAUGUAAUAUGCUGGUUACCCUACUGGUCAGAGCAGGAGUGAAAGUUUAGGGAGAUAGUCAGUUAGUAUUUUUAAUGAUAUAUUGCUUAUGUAAAAAAUAAUCAAUCAAAAGUCUGUAAUAGAGUCCAGAAAGAUUAAAAAUAGUAAAAUGUAUAUAAGGUCACAUCUUUUCUAAGUCAGGGUAAAAUUGCAUUUUAAAGAUUAAUUAUUUCAGAGAUGCAUAAAGUAUAACUCUAUCCUGCCUUCUGCCUGACUUCAGACCAACAUGGAUAACUGCUUCUGUGUCUUCUAAACUGAAGUCUAAUUCAUUAUGUGAUAUUUGCCCCUUUUUAUCUUUUCAUGGAGUUUUGUUUUACAGAAGUCAUAGAAGUCAUAGAGACAAAGGGCUGAAAGGGGCCUCCAGAAGUCAUGUAGUUCAACCCUUUGCUUGAGGCAAGAUCAUCCAUAUCCAAACUAUCCCAUACGACCAUAAUCUGAACUCUACAUGAGAUUGGAUGUGGAUGUGAGUCACGUGAGAUAUGGAUUUGAGUAAGGAAGAGGUGCGCAGCAUCGGCCUCAUUCUCUCCUCUGAGCCAAUUGGUAACCAGUGGCAGGACAGUGUCAAGACAGCUGGAGAUUGGGCCAAAUGCAGUGGAUGACCAGGGCGUGUUUUGUGCCUUGUCCUGCUUUGUGUGAUCCACGGCACACUGCUGUACCACCAUCACGGCCAUUGGACCAUACAAGGGUCUUGUCUGCCCAGCCAGCCAGCCAGCCAGAGUCAGACUUUGCAUGCAGGGAAAGGUGUGUCCCUAUCUCCCUACAGGUCUAGAGACUGACUGGGUACCCUUACCUGGGUUGGCCCACCCUUUGAGGUAGUUUACCCAGGCGUGGUCACUGUCACAUGCAGACAGAUGCUUGGAGCUACAGGUGAGAGUUGGAUGCUGGUGAGGACCAACAGAGGAAGAAGCACUCAGGUAAGCAUGACAUACUCCUUCUCUGGAGGUGCUACCUCUCCCAGACACCCCAGACAGCCCUCCUUUAUGCCUGUGAAACCUGGACCAUCUACCAGCGUUGUGCCAAGAAACUAAACCACUUCCACCUGUGCUGCCUGCGAAAGAUACUAAAGAUCAAGGGCAGGACAAGAUUCCAGACACUGAGGUGCUCAGAAGAUCAGCUCUCCCCAGUAUUCACACUCUACUGAAACUGGUGCAGCUAAGAUGGGCCAGCCACCUUUCAAGAAUGCCUGACACAGAAAAAUUUCUAUGGAAAACUGUGAAAUGGAGUACGCUUUUGUGGUGCACCAAAGAAGCGGUACAAAGACACCCUAAAGAUGUCCCUAAAGAGUUUUGGCAUCAACCCGGAGUCAUGGGACCAAAUUGCUCAUGACUGUCCAGCCUGGAAGUCAUCAGUCCAGAGUGGAGCACUGGCCUUUGAGCAGUGGCACAUGGAAGUGUGUGGCCAGAAAAAUGAGGACCUCUCAUGUCUAGUCCUCAUCGCUCUCCUGCCCCUGCUGCUGCAGAUUGUUCAGGGAAAAGAUUGGGCUUAUAAAUCAUCUGCAUAUGUACGUGACCUAGCCUCCACCCCUCUCCUCUCUCAUUCCUCUUCCUUCUUUCUCCUGUUUCCUCUCUUUCUCUUUUCCCUUCCCUUUUUCUUUCCUGCUUCCUCUCUCUCUCCCCCCACCCCGCUGGAUGCGGUCAUCUUCACUUGUGAAGGAUGAACAACACUUAAGACCACCCUCAACCCUGACAGAACAUAGAUCUGAGAUCCUAACCUGCCACAGGUAAAGCAGGGGAACCACAGCAGCCAGUGGUCUGCUUCUAUAAAAUUCCUGUUCCCAUUAUUUUUUUUCUUUAAGCUGUAAUAUUCCCAAGGAUAAAGUAUGCAAAAAGAAAAAUACCAUUUAAAAAAAUAUUAUAAAUCAUUAAUCUUAGUUCUGAGGAUGAAUGCCACCAAAUUCUAGUAGUCUUUUUUGUCUUUGAUUUUCUGCUCAUCUCUUUUUCCACUUACCUCUUUCAUGUGCAGCAGUAUUUCUCCUGUGGUAUUUUUCUCGGUUGCCAUCUGAGCAUUUUAUAGUGGAAAUGUGUAAGAAACUGGCAAAGGGGCAACCAUGGGGCACAAAGUUAAACCUUCAGUUAAGGUGUUAAUUGAAUGAGAUGGGUUUUUUUGCUUUCUGAUUUAUCCAGUGAAGGAGACAGUGACAGAUGCAUACAUUUCAAAUUUCAUGAAAAAAAUAGUUGAAUUAAUACAGCAGCUGAUGGAAGGCCUGGCACGGUACCCACUAAAAUAAGAUGAAGAACUUCCACUGACUCUAACGUGAUAAGAAUCAGGCCACAAUUAGCAGCAAUUCUGGGAGAGUUGUUGGGAGGGCAGCAGGUAUAGAAUAAGCAGGAAGAUGAAUGUAGAGAAGGCAGAUGUGGGGUUGGGUAUGUAAGAUGAUCUGCUGUAAAGGUGCAUACAAAUGAGAGAAAAGGGGCAUAGGGCUGAGGGUUUAUUUGCUAAAAUAUUCUGAAAAGAAUGCAGGAACAUUAGUCUGCCUCCUUAAGGAGAAGAAGGUGCACCGCAGAUCAGGUUGCUAUAGUUAAAACUAUUAUGAUAGAAAAGAAAGUCUGUGGGUGUCUGUUUGACCUUAGGCAGCUUUAAUAUUCAUACUUUGGAAUUUCUGAAACUCUCUGGAGGUGCUGCGAUAGCUUUUGAACACUGAAGGCAUUACUAGAGUAAAGAGCUGGUGAAAAUUGAAGGCAAUAAAAUUUGCAGAAAUACAAUUAUCAGUCACUGAAAUAAAGAUGUUACUUAUCUUGUUCUUAGAAAAUCUGCUCCCAGACAUAAUUAUGGUACAUUAUAACAACAAUGCUGGAUGGGCAAACUGAAAAAAAAAAAAUUAUUUGCUAUAGAGAAUAAAUACAAUGGGGACACUUUUUCAUUCAUCUGUCAUGGUUCAGUAGAUAUAACUUUCCUUUCUUUUUUUCCCCAUUACCAAUGAGGGGACGGGGGGCAAUCCCCUGUUAGAUACUACAGAAAAUCCAUGAACCCUAUGCCAGCUCCUGCUUUACCUAUGAAUAUAUAGAAAUCUUCUCUCUAGUUAGUUCAGUGCCAAACAGAGGCUGGCUAAUACCAAGGAUUCAGACCAACACCAUUUAUGUAGAAACACUGUCUAUUUUGGCCUGUUUGUCAGAAUCUCCUGUUUGGCUUAAUACAGCAGCUUUGCUAGCCAGGAGCAGUUGGAGAUAAUAUGCUAUCCUAGAGACUCUGUCUCCUUUUGCAACCCACUGCAGUCAUCAAGGAGGUUCAUAUGUUUCCCAUCUGUGGAAAAGGU